rnacentral:rRNA from 1 species
CCUACGGGAGGCAGCAGUGAGGAAUAUUGGUCAAUGGACGAGAGUCUGAACCAGCCAAGUAGCGUGAAGGAUGACUGCCCUAUGGGUUGUAAACUUCUUUUAUAUAGGAAUAAAAUGUUCCACGUGUGGGAUUUUGUAUGUACCAUAUGAAUAAGGAUCGGCUAACUCCGUGCCAGCAGCCGCGGUAAUACGGAGGAUCCGAGCGUUAUCCGGAUUUAUUGGGUUUAAAGGGAGCGUAGGUGGAUUGUUAAGUCAGUUGUGAAAGUUUGCGGCUCAACCGUAAAAUUGCAGUUGAAACUGGCAGUCUUGAGUACAGUAGAGGUGGGCGGAAUUCGUGGUGUAGCGGUGAAAUGCUUAGAUAUCACGAAGAACUCCGAUUGCGAAGGCAGUUCACUGGACUGCAACUGACACUGAGGCUCGAAAGUGUGGGUAUCAAACAGGAUUAGAUACCCGUGUAGUC